rnacentral:rRNA from 1 species
GAUGAACGCUGACAGAAUGCUUAACACAUGCAAGUCUUUGGCGAAGCUGUGCUUGCACCGCCUAGCCAAGGCGGACGGGUGGGUAACGCGUAAGGAACUUGCCCUGCAGUCAGGGAUAACAGACGGAAACGACUGAUAAGACCUGGUAAAGUCAGGCGGACUCAUGUCCAGCCUGAUGAAAAGUGAUGCUGCAGGAGAGCCUUGCGUCCUAUUAGCUUGUUGGUGGGGUAACGGCCCACCAAGGCGAUGAUAGGUAGCCGGCCUGAGAGGGUGGACGGCCACAAGGGGACUGAGAUACGGCCCUUACUCCUACGGGAGGCAGCAGUGGGGAAUAUUGGACAAUGGGGGCAACCCUGAUCCAGCAAUUCUGUGUGCACGAUGAAGGUUUUCGGAUUGUAAAGUGCUUUCAGCAGGGAAGAAAAAAAUGACGGUACCUGCAGAAGAAGCGACGGCUAAAUACGUG